rnacentral:rRNA from 1 species
GUCCAUGCCGUAAACGAUGAUCACUCGCUGUUGGCGAUAGACAGUCAGCGGCCAAGCGAAAGCGUUAAGUGAUCCACCUGGGGAGUACGCCGGCAACGGUGAAACUCAAAGGAAUUGACGGGGUCCGCACAAGCGGUGGAGCAUGUGGUUUAAUUCGAUGAUACGCGAGGAACCUUACCUGGGCUAGAAUGCCUUUGCAUAAAUCAGAAAUGGUUUUUCCUUCGGGACUAAGUGCAAGGUGCUGCAUGGCUGUCGU